CAAAGACCUCACAAACCUAAAGCUUUGUGUGUGUUUGUGUACACAUGCAUACACACAUGUACACAAUCAGAGUAACAUAUAGUAUGCACAAGAUGCUUUGAUACCACUUUAAUUGCCCCCCUUGCUCUGGGGCCUGUCUUUAUGGCAAACAGACCCAGAAUUGGUUGUGGGAGAGUGAGAUGACCACUGUCUCAGAACUAGACAAGCUGGUUCAAAUCCAGACUCUGCUGGCCAUGCCUGUUUGCUAGCCCCCACCCCCAUUCCUAGCCCUCCCCAUCUUUCACAUAAGAGCCUUGAUUCCAGAAUCUCCAAGCUUUGUGUCUCUUGGGAAAUUGUCUCUAAUCUAUUUUCGCUUGGAUUUGCAUGCACUCCACGCGAUUAUCAUCUGGCUGAGUUGAGUUUGCUCCUCUUUUGUUUGAUCUGAUGUUUGAUCUGAUCUGGUUUCGUAACACAAGCUCCAGCCAAUUUUAGCCCUUCUUGGAUUAUGGGAGUGUCAGAAUUAAGGUAUCAUAGCAUUUGUCACGGUUUCUGCUCAGGAUACGUGCCCCCCCUUUCCAUUUUGGCACAAGCCAAAACCCUCCCACUCCCUACAUGACUCCCUAAGUGGAGUCUGGUUUUCACAUUAGCUGAGAGAAGGCCCUGAAGUCAAAAAUCCUUGGCACAUGAGUCACUUUGUCUCUUUGUGCCUCAUUUCCCUCAUCUAUAAAUAGGAGGAGUCUCCCACUUUCUCAUCUCUCAGCAUGGAGGUGAUUUUAUGCAAAUCAAGAGCUCCUUCCCAGGAGCUGCUCUGAUUCACAGGUAGCCCCUCUCCUAGGUCCCAGAGGGGGAGAGGAGGUGGGUUCUCUAGCAAAUCAAUGUAUUUCUCAGUCUCCUUACUUCUUUUCCAGGCCCCCUGCAGAACAGACCCCCUUCAUUACUGCCUGAGUGAAGAAGCUUCCAAAGCAUAGGAGUCUGCCUGCUGCAGGAGCCCUCAUUAGCUCCCUAUUGCCUUCAGGGCAAAGUCUUCAGGGGUGGGUUCACAAGGAAGCACAGGGAAAACUCAGGCUGACAACUAAUAACGCACCCAAAGAUAUUACCCUUAUGGGGCCCAGACCCUUAAGGUGCAAGGCUGAGAAUUCAAAAAGGAAUAUAAUUGGGCCCCUGUGUUCAAGAAGCUUGCCCUCUUUUACAAAAAGUUGACAAGCACAAAAAAAUAACAUUUUACUUUUAAAUACCGGAAGUGCCUUAGCAAUCAUUGACCUUGCCCAAAUGACCCAUUCUAUAGAUGGAGAAGCCAAGCGAGGUCACAAAUUUUAAGGAAAAGCACAUUUUCCCUAAUAGGUCUCCCUGCUUCCACUCUGCCCCUCCACUGCUAGAGGGAGAGUCAUUCUUCUGAGCAGAAUGUGACCUGGUCACUCUCCAUGUAAAACCUUUCUAUACCCCUUCCCAUGUACAAAAGGAGCCAGACUUCUUCCUGGCUGAUGGAGAGUAAAGAGAAGCCUUGCUUGAAUCUCAGGCUUCUUGUGGCAUUCAGCCUCAGCUCUGAGGGCACCCUUCAGGGCUGAGUCCCCCACCAUCAUAGGUGCAGGGAAGAGGUCCAUCUCAGUUGCUCUGUCCCUGUCACCUGACUGAAGUUCUCACAGUAGGUGCGCAUACACACCAUCUCCCUUGCUUACAUUGUUCUUGUUCACUGUCUGCAAGCACUGGCUAGAGGGUAAGUUGCCAGAGGGCCAGAAGUUGCCUCUGUCUCCAGUGUCUAGAACAGUGUCUAGAAAGUUGAUAUGUAAGAAAUAUUUCUGGAGUGACUUAAACAAAUGAAUACAUACUGAAGGAAAUCUGCAAAUGCAGGAUAGUAUAAAGAAGAAAAUAAAAACCACACAUACUUCCUUCUGGGUGUUCCUUCUGUUAACAUUUUGGAAUAUUUCCUUUUAAUCUUCCCAGUUCUUUAUAUAUCUGGUAUACAGUAUAUAUUUAAUAAAAUUGAGAUGAUGCUAAUGUGUCCUUUGUAUGCUGCUUUUUUUCACUUAUGAUUACAUUGUAUGUCCACAUGUUGUGAAAUAGUCUUUUAAAAUGCUAUGUUCAAUGCUGCCAAAUAGUUCACCAACAUGUCAAAAUUAAGUAUUUGCUAUUACGGAUACUGAUAACUUGAUUUUUUUUCUAAUUGAUCUACCCUCUGGCUAAACCAUCCUAAUAGGACCUGACAGUUAAUAUCCUCAGGUAACUGUUCCUAGCUGUGAACAAUUGGGUAAAAGAUGUUAAGUUACUUUCCAGGAAAUGUCAACAGACCCAUCUUUAGUGUUGUUUUUUUCUGCAGCCUCUUACAACGGCGAUUGACCUUCUUAUUAAGUCAAAAGUUUGUGGUUAGUUGGGGGUUGUGUUUCUAAAACUUCCUGAU
rnacentral:lncRNA from 1 species